GCACGGAACUCAUGGUGGAGGGGUGAAAUCCGUUGAUAUCAUGGGGAACACCAAAGGCGAAGGCAGUGCACUGGUACGUUCCUGACGCUCAAACACGAAAGCCAGGGUAGCGAACGGGAUCGAUCUGGUCCCCUCCGAUGGUGACAUCGGAGUUCAAAGAAUUCGGCUAUAUGCUGGAAUAUCCGAGUAUCUGACACUACUCCGAAAGGAGUUAUAAUGUGUUCAGUGCGGACAAUCAGCAGGGAAGAUUUGUGCGCUUCAUUGAGAAUGUACAUUUGUUUUUUUGAAGGAGGUGCAAUUAUGAACAUGUUUGAAAAGUCGUUACAAACAUUGCAGCAGGAUUGGGAAAAGAUACAUCGACCAAUGUGGCAACAUAUGUGGUCACCUAUGGUGGUAAUGAUUCGCUACUGCGUCGUCUUACCGCUCGUAUUACUUCUCUUCUUCUACCUCGCAAAAGCAACGUCCUGAACAAAUUGGGAACUCCCAGUUGUUCGGGUUCUCAAUGAAGCGCACAAAAACCCUCAGAGACUACACGCCGAAUAUCUCAAAAUUAUGAAUCGGGCUGAAGCAACACUCAUCGGUCUUCUCUUCACAGACGGCUGCCUUUCUCCAAAAGGGAAAAGCGCCUGGAGGUUUUACUUCAGCAACAAAUCGAAAAAACUUGUUGCGAUAUUUCGAGAUUGCAUGAUGCAAUGUUUUGCAUUGCCGUCAUCUCGAGUUCGUCUUGGUAUGACCAAUGACGAGCUCUAUCGCGCGAUAAUUGAUUCGAAAGAUGCUGGAGACGCUCUCACGCGCAAGUUCGGAACGUUCCGGACCCUGCGUUACAAGAACGGUAUUCUUCCGAAAGCUCGUUUGCCUGUGCAAGAACUUUUGCAACAUAAUGUUGCCGAAGAUUUCUUGCGCGCGGCAUUUAGUUCUGACGGAGGAGUGAACCUCUAUGUCGCGCGCCGCAACGGCGCGCGUGGCGGGACGAGAUGGCUCAUCCGCGGUGUUUACAUCGCGUGUGCCCAUCCUGCUCUUCGUCGCGAUUACUGCACAUUGCUUAAAGCGCUCGGUAUCCGAGUGCGCAAUGUCGCAGGAGACGGCAAAGUGAAGAUAGAGACCGAAGAAGAUAUACGAGCUUUCCAAAAGAAAGUCGGAUUUAUCAAAGGCGUGCAUAUAACGCAUACCUCGAAAUUCUGGCCGAAAGUUGAAAAGCAGGACUUACUGAAUCGACUCGUUGAGUCGUAUAAAGUACCGUCCGAUGUAUAUCAGUUGUCACAGUUCGAUUUAGCAAAAUGAGAUAAUGAUAUAGUCCGACCUUUAUAGCGAUAUAAAGAUUCGUUGUGCACCGGGUAAACAAUGAUCUCCGAAAGGAGUAACAGUAUGUAGAUACCCCGGUAGUCCUGGCCCUCAACGUUGCUCGCUCGUUUUACGGAGUAUCGACCCUCUGUGAGACUAAGCUAACGCGGUAAGCGAGCCGCCUGGGUAGUACGAUCGCAAGAUUAAAACUCAAAGGAAUAG
rnacentral:rRNA from 1 species